GAUGAGGCUUCAACCUCAAAAAAAGAUGUGAGAAAGAGGAUUGGGAAAGCUGACAGAUCUGCUAUGGCAGAGCUUCUAAAGAAGAAAAAGACUGAAGACCAGCGGAACCAUGAUGCACACACAACAAGCAAAUUUCCCUGCACUUCAACGGGCCAAGUACGUGCACGUAUGGGCCAGAAGCUGAAAGAUGUCCGUGCAUCACUGAUCAUCAUGCAUGAGUUUCCGGGUCACAUGAUUAAGAUCAAGAUCAUUUAGGGUCAAUGAACUUUGACCAUGCUGGGGCAUCUGCAUUGAAAUCUUAACCAAGGUU